rnacentral:rRNA from 1 species
UACGUAGGGGGCAAGCGUUGUCCGGAUUUAUUGGGCGUAAAGAGCGUGUAGGCGGCUAGGUAGGUCCGUUGUGAAAACUCGAGCUCAACCUCGAGACGCCGGUGGAAACCAUCUAGCUAGAGUCCGGAAGAGGAGAAUGGAAUUCCCGGUGUAGCGGUGAAAUGCGCAGAUAUCGGGAAGAACACCCGCGGCGAAGGCGGUUCUCUGGGACGGUACUGACGCUGAGACGCGAAAGCGUGGGGAGCGAACAGG